CAAGAGCGUAUGUCAAAGUUGUUGCAGUUAAAAAGCUCGUAGUUGAACCUUGGGUUUGGUUGGCCGGUCCGCUUUUUUGCGAGUACUGGAUUCAACCGAGCCUUUCCUUCUGGCUAACCAGUCGUUUCGGCGGCUGGCGAACCAGGAUUUUUACUUUGAGUAAAUUAGAGUGUUCAAAGCAGGCAUUAGCUUGAAUAUAUUAGCAUGGAAUAAUAGAAUAGGACGUUAUGGUUCUAUUUUGUUGGUUUCUAGGACCAUCGUAAUGAUUAAUAGGGACGGUCGGGGGCAUCAGUAUUCAGUUGUCAGAGGUGAAAUUCUUGGAUUUACUGAAGACUAACUACUGCGAAAGCAUUUGCCAAGGACGUUUUCAUUAA
rnacentral:rRNA from 1 species